CUACGGGUUGCGCCAGUGGGGAAUAUUGCACAAUGGGCGCAAGCCUGAUGCAGCGACGCCGCGUGAGGGAUGAAGGCCUUCGGGUUGUAAACCUCUUUUAGCAGGGAAGAAGCGAAAGUGACGGUACCUGCAGAAAAAGCACCGGCUAACUACGUGCCAGCAGCCGCGGUAAUACGUAGGGCGCAAGCGUUGUCCGGAAUUAUUGGGCGUAAAGAGCUCGUAGGCGGUUUGUCACGUCUGCUGUGAAAAUCCAAGGCUCAACCUUGGACUUGCAGUGGGUACGGGCAGGCUAGAGUGCGGUAGGGGAGAUGGGAAUUCCUGGUGUAGCGGUGGAAUGCGCAGAUAUCAGGAGGAACACCAAUGGCGAAGGCACAUCUCUGGGCCGUAACUGACGCUGAGGAGCGAAAGCGUGGGGAGCGAACAGGAUUAGAUACCCGCGUAGUC
rnacentral:rRNA from 1 species